CAGAGAGAAAUGGGCAGCUCGGUGGCACUCAGCCCAGGUGGUCUCCUGCCCCAUGGUGGCAAGCUGGCAAGCGGAAGGAGGCAAUCGCCCGGUGCUGGGAUGCUGUGGAGCAAGGAGAAGGCAAGUACAAAGUUUAGUUGCUGGUGGGAUCACUACUUGAAGGCAACUGACACUCAGCUCUGAAGCUGGUUGAUGUCUGGCAAUGGACCUGACGUGGUUGCAGCUGGUGGAUGGUUGUUGGAAGAGUUUGCAUUCAAGCUAGUGGAUGUUGUAAGGCUACGCUGGCUGAGAUGGAUGUAAACUGGUUUGGAAGCCUUGUUUGUUAACAGGCAGCCAAACAGAGGAGGAAUCUGGGGGGACGCUGUCGGGUGUUGGCUAUCCCACUCACCUGUUUGCCUUUGCCUUACAGGGAUGUUUGGAGCUGGUGAGGUUUUCCCCAAGUCCAGCCUUCAAAGUCAUCAAGAGAACCGCAGGACAUCCCUAUUUACAUUGGAGAAGUGAACGUGAAAUACUGGCAGUGAGCAAUGGACAAGGCCGUGGCCAUACCUGAGAGAAGGAGCUUUGAAGGGAGACUGCAGGCGGACAUCUGCUGCAUUGCAAGUGAUGGGGCAGUGGGGAGAGAGAAGAAAAUGAGGGAGGAAACAUUAGGCCACAUUAGGCGCACCGUCCACUGAAAGUGCUAUGAAGAUGCUUUAAACAGGAAUGGCUUCCCCUCAGGGAUUCUGGGAACUGUAGGUGGUUAAGGGGACGGAGACUUGUUAUGGUGGUUAAGUAUUAGGACUAGGGGUAGGGUAGGGGUUGGGGUAGGGGUAGGGGUAGGGGUAGGGUUCCUUCUUGCCAGGGAACUCUGGGAAUUGUAGCUCUAGUUAAGGGUUAGAGUUAGGGUUAGCGUCAGGAGCAGGGGUAGGGCUGGGGUCCCUUUUGCCAGGGAACUCUGGGAAUUGUAGCUCUAGUUAGGGCAGGGUUAGGGUUAGGUUAGGGUUCCUUCUUGCCAGGGAACCCUGGGAAUUGUAGCCCCAACUAAGGCUAAGGGUUAGAAUUAGGUUAGCGUCAGGGGCAGGGGUAGGGGUGGGGUUCCCUUGGCAGGGAACUCUGGGAAUUGUAGCUCUAGUUAGGGGCAGGAUUAGGAUUAGGGUUAGGGUUCCCUUUUUGCCAGGGAACUCUGGGAAUUGUAGCUCUAGUUAAGGCUUAAAGGUUAGUGUUAGGGCUAGAGUUAGGGUGAGCGUCAGGGGUAGGGGUAGGGGUAGAGGUAGGGUUCCCUUCUUGGCAGGGAACGGGUCCCCUAACAACUCUUGGCACCCUUUUCCAACUAUAGCUCCCAGAGUCUUUGGGGGUGUUUAGCCAUGAGUGUUUAAAGUGGCUUCAUAGCGCGUUAAAUGGUGUGGAUGUGGCCCUGGCCUCCCUCACCCCACUGCCUCUUAUUAUUGAAGAAUCGAAAGGAUUUCCCCAUUCAAAUCUCUUGGAAACAGGAAACAGGAAGAAGAAAGACUUUGUAUCUCAAGCCAUUUUGGAAUGUCUUAACUUGAAAUGCCAAUAAAGGUUUUUUAUUGUA
rnacentral:lncRNA from 1 species